rfam:Ixodes scapularis strain Wikel colony gcontig_1108379305046, whole genome shotgun sequence.
CCCUGGUUAGCUCAGUUGGUAGAGCGCUCCACCUGUAAUGGAGACGUUCCGGGUUCGAUACCCGGACCAGGCG